rnacentral:rRNA from 1 species
UACGUAGGGUGCAAGCGUUGUCCGGAUUUAUUGGGUUUAAAGGGUGCGUAGGUGGCUGUUUAAGUCAUGGGUGAAAGCCCUCAGCUUAACUGUGGAACUGGUUUUGAUACUGCAUAGCUUGAGUACGGUUGAGGUAGGUGGAAUUUGGCGUGUAGCGGUGAAAUGCUUAGAUAUCCCAUAGAACACCGAUUGCGAAGGCAGCUGGCUAGACCUUAACUGACGCUGAGGCACGAAAGCGUGGGGAGCGAACAGG